CCGGCUGACCGUGCUCCUGGUCCGGACGGCUUCUCCGGCGUCUUCUAUAGGCGGUGCUGGCGCAUCAUAAAAGCUGAUCUCAUGCGAGCCCUACAACAAUUCCAUGAUCUCAACGGUGGCCGCAGUUUCAAAGACCUCAAUGCAGCAACGGUGGUGCUAAUUCCAAAAGCUCCGGAUCCAACUGACAUUGGUCAUUUUCGACCAAUUAGCUUUGUACAUUCCUUUGCUAAGCUCAUCGCAAAGAUCCUUUCCCUGCGCCUCGCCCCAAAACUUGGCAGUCUCAUCUCUCCAGCGCAAAGUGCUUUCCUGAAGACUAGGUGCAUCCACGAUAGUUUUUUCUUUGUCAGAAAUGCCGCACGCAGCCUGCACCGUAGAAAGAAACCUGCACUACUCUUCAAAAUGGAUAUAGCGAAGGCGUUCGACUCAAUCUCGUGGGAAUAUCUACUUGAGCUACUUCAGAAGCUAGGUUUCUCUGCACGAUGGUGCGAUUGGAUCGCUCUGCUUCUGCAAUCCUCCUCCUUUGUAGUCCUUCUAAGUGGUGUGGAGGGCGAGCUGAUAGACCACCACAGAGGACUACGUCAAGGCGACCCGCUCUCCCCAUUUCUCUUCAUCCUUGCCAUCGACAUGCUGCAGCGGAUUCUAGAUCGUGCUGCCGCCCUUGGAUACCUGGCGCCACUUCCUGGGCGCGAUGUCAAGUUGCGCAUCAGCCUCUACGCGGACGAUACAAUCAUCUUCUCCAACCCACGCAAUGAGGAGGUCUCCUGCUUGCUAACUAUACUAGAGAAGUUCGGGGAGGCAACGGGUCUGCGAGUAAACCCUUCAAAAUCCACUGUCACGCCUAUCAAAUGUCAGUCCUUGGAUCUAGACAAUAUACUGCAAGGUUUCCCUGGAAGGCGAACAAGCUUUCCGAUCACAUAUUUAGGCUUGCCGAUAUCCUUAGGAAGACUGAAGAAGGUGCACCUCUAG
rnacentral:rRNA from 1 species